rnacentral:rRNA from 1 species
AGUUUUUUUUUUUUUGGUUUGUUGUUUUUACGAAAUAUUGUUUGUUUUAGUGGAAUAAUUUUGUUAUGGUUUUACUGUGAAGGAUGCUCAUCUUUUUUUAAGGUUUUUUAGUUUUAAUUACCUUUUGUAUCAUGGUUUAACUAAGAUAAAUUUUUAUAUUUUUUCUAGAAAAGAGAGGAUACCUUCUUUAUGCUUGGAGCUUAGAAUUAAUUGUUUAAUAAAUUUUUUUAUAAGAGAAGGUUGUAAUGAGAUGUUUCGUCUUUCUUUAUAGCUAGUUAACUCAUUAAACUUUUUAGAGUUUUUUUAAAGGGGUAAUUUCUUUAAAUUAGAAGAAUUAAAGAUUUAAAUUUAAUUUUAGGAUUAAUAGUUUCUUUUAACAAAAAAUGUUUAAUAACUAAUUAAUUAUUUUUUAGUUUUCUUUUUUUUGGGUUAUUUUAUUUAUUUUUUUUUUGAAUUUUAGAAUGUUAAAAUUAGUAUUUAUUUUUUUCUUUUUUUAUGAACUCGGCAAAAUAAAGUUCGACUGUUUUCAAAAACAUAGUUUCUUGAAUUUUUAUUAGAAAUAGUUUCUGCUCAAUGAUUUUAAAUAGCCGCAGUAAUUUGACUGUGCAAAGGUAGCGUAAUCAUUUGCUCUAUAAUUGAGGGCUGGAAUGAAUGGAUUAACGAGGCUUUAUCUUUAUUAAGAAAGUUAAAAGAAAUUUCUUUAAAAGUGAAGAAGCUUUUAUUUUUUUAGGGGACAAGAAGWCCCUAUUGAGCUUUACUAAUUGUUUGAUUAUUUUUUUUAAUUAGCUUGGUUGGGGCGACCUAGGAAGAAAGAUCUUCCUUUUAUUUAUUUUGAUCCAAGGAUUUUGAUUGAAAGAGUAAGUUACCAUAGGGAUAACAGCGUUAUUUUUUUUGUGAGUUCUUAUUAAAAAAAAAGAUUGCGACCUCGAUGUUGACUUAUUUUUUCCUAAAGGUGUAGUAGCUUUAAGGGUAGGUCUGUUCGACCUUUAAAAUGAUACGUGAGUUGAGUUCAGACCGGCGUGAGCCAGGUUGGUUUCUAUCUUUUAUUUUUUAUUAGGUUUCUUAGUACGAAAGGAUUGGAGAUUAUUUU